rnacentral:rRNA from 1 species
AGAACGAACGCUGGCGGCAUGCCUAAUACAUGCAAGUCGAACGAACUCUUCGGAGUUAGUGGCGCACGGGUGCGUAACGCGUGGGAAUCUGCCCUUGGGUUCGGAAUAACAGUUGGAAACGACUGCUAAUACCGGAUGAUAUCGAAAGAUCAAAGAUUUAUCGCCCAGGGAUGAGCCCGCGUAGGAUUAGCUAGUUGGUGAGGUAAAGGCUCACCAAGGCGACGAUCCUUAGCUGGUCUGAGAGGAUGAUCAGCCACACUGGGACUGAGACACGGCCCAGACUCCUACGGGAGGCAGCAGUAGGGAAUAGUUGGACAAUGGGCGCAAGCCUGAUCCAGCAAUGCCGCGUGAGUGAUGAAGGCCGUUAGGGUUAGUAAACGUCUUCCUUUUACCCGAGUAUGAAUAAGUGACGAGUA